GAUCAAGCGACUAAGUGCACGUGGUGGAUGCCUUGGCGAUCACAGGCGAUGAAGGACGUGCAAGCCUGCGAAAAGCUACGGGGAGCUGGCAAUGGAGCUUUGAUCCGUAGAUAUCCGAAUGGGGAAACCCACUCCGCAAGGAGUAUCCCGCACUGAAUACAUAGGUGCGCGGAGGCGAACCGGGAGAACUGAAACAUCUAAGUACCCCGAGGAAAGAAAUCAACCGAGAUUCCCUGAGUAGUGGCGAGCGAACGGGAAGAGCCUGUACGUGAUAAUUGCAUGUGUUAAUAGAACGGUCUGGAAAGUCCGGCCAUAGCGGGUGAUAGCCCCGUAUAUGAAAACCCAUGGAUGGUACUGAGCGUACGACAAGUAGGGCGGGGCACGAGAAACCCUGUCUGAACAUGGGGGGACCAUCCUCCAAGGCUAAAUACUCGUGAUCGACCGAUAGUGAACAAGUACCGUGAGGAAAGGCGAAAAGAACCCCGGGAGGGGAGUGAAAUAGAUCCUGAAACCGCGUGCAUACAAACAGUGGGAGCCUCGCAAGGUGACUGCGUACCUUUGUAUAAUGGGUCAGCGACUUACGUUGUGUGGCGAGCUUAACCGAAUAGGGGAGGCGUAGCGAAAGCGAGUCUGAUAAGGGCGAAUCAGUCGCACGGCGUAGACCCGAAACCAGAUGAUCUAUCCAUGGCCAGGAUGAAGGUUGGGUAACACCAGCUGGAGGUCCGAACCCACUAAUGUUGAAAAAUUAGGGGAUGAGCUGUGGAUAGGGGUGAAAGGCUAAACAAAUCUGGAGAUAGCUGGUUCUCCCCGAAAACUAUUUAGGUAGUGCGUCGUACGGACACUUGCGGGGGUAGAGCACUGUAAUCGUUGAGGGGGUCAUUGCGAUCUACCUCGCGAUAGCAAACUCGAAUACCGCAAAGUGAUAUACGGCAGACAGACUGGGGGUGCUAACGUUCUAGGUCAAGAGGGAAACAACCCAGACCGCCAGUUAAGGUCCCAAAUGCAUGGCUAAGUGGAAAACGAAGUGGGAAGGCAUAGACAGCUAGGAGGUUGGCUUAGAAGCAGCCACCCUUUAAAGAAAGCGUAAUAGCUCACUAGUCGAGUCGUCCUGCGCGGAAGAUGUAACGGGGCUAGCCAUGAACCGAAACUGCGGAUGCGCAUUUAUGCGUGUGGUAGGGGAGCGUUCUGUAAGCCUGUGAAGGUGUUCCGGGAGGAAUGCUGGAGGUAUCAGAAGUGCGAAUGCUGACAUGAGUAGCGAUAAAGCGUGUGAAAAGCACGCUCGCCGAAAGCCAGGGUUUCCUACGCAACGUUCAUCGGCGUAGGGUGAGUCGGCCCCUAAGGCGAGGCAGAAAUGCGUAGUCGAUGGGAAACAGGUCAAUAUUCCUGUACCGAUUCUUGAUGCGAUGGGGGACGGAGAAGGUUAGCCAGCCGGGUGUUGGAAGUCCCGGUUCAAGCCCGUAGUCGUGCUGCAUAGGCAAAUCCGUGCGGCUUAGAUGAGAGAGGUGAUAACGAGCGAACUUGUUCGCGAAGUGGUUGAUACCAUGCUUCCAGGAAAAGCCUCUAAGCUUCAGUCAGAAUCGACCGUACCGCAAACCGACACAGGUGGGCAGGUUGAAAAUACCAAGGCGCUUGAGAGAACUCGGGAGAAGGAACUCCGCAAAUUGAUACCGUAACUUCGGGAGAAGGUAUGCCCCGGUAGCUUGUAGGAGUACAUCCGAAGGGCGAUGGGGCCGCAGAGAAUCGGUGGCUGCGACUGUUUAUUAAACACAGCACUCUGCAAACACGAAAGUGGACGUAUAGGUGUGACGCCUGCCCGGUGCCGGAAGGUUAAGUGAUGGUGUGCAAGUUCUCGAUCGAAGCCCCGGUAAACGGCGGCCGUAACUAUAACGGUCCUAAGGUAGCGAAAUUCCUUGUCGGGCAAGUUCCGACCCGCACGAAUGGCGUAACGAUGGCCACACUGUCUCCUCCGGAGACUCAGCGAAGUUGAAAUGUUUGUGAAGAUGCAAUCUCCCGCGGCUAGACGGAAAGACCCCAAGAACCUUUACUGUAGCUUUGCAUUGACUUUGACGGGACUUGUGUAGGAUAGGUGGGAGGCUUCGAAGCCGUGACGCUAGUUCUGGUGGAGCCAACCCGAAAUACCACCCUGGUCGUUGAGGCUCUAACCUUGGUCCGUGAAUCCGGAUCGGGGACCGUGGCAUGGUAGGUAGUUUGAUCAGCGGUCCUCUCCCAAAGAGUAACGGAGGAGUAGCCGAAGGUCUCUCUAGGUACGGUCGGACAU
rnacentral:rRNA from 1 species